GUCCGCAGGGACGAGCUGCAGACGGGAGGAAACAGACGGGAGGAGAGUUUGCAUUUCCGUGUCGAGCGAAUCCUACUUCACAGAAAUGGGAAAGACAACAGGAAACAGCAGAUUCUCUGCUCGCGUCUCUCUGGAGAGCGUCGAUGAAAGUCAGGGAUCAAUACAUCCUGAUCAAUAGACGACCAUGAAUAUCAGCCCCCGAAGCCGGCCGAGAAAGACUGGAGGAGAGGAGGCAGAUGGGAUGGAUGGAGGAUGACAUGGAUGGAGGAGCGGGAGCCAAGAGGAGAGUGGCGCAGCUCUGAGACUCUGAUGGAUGCUAAUGAGACAAAAUAUUCAUGCGUCCGGUUUGGGGAAACGCUUUACAAACGGGAUUCAUAUGCAAGACGUGGAUGAAUUACACUGUGGGAGAGCUGAGGAGGGAGCUUACCGGGGCUGGACCGCGGGACCAGCGAGGACUUGAGUCUCCAGGCGCUGAAGUCGGACGCUGUUCUCUGAAAGACGAAGGGGACCGGCAGGGGGAC